UCAGAAAAUUUGAGCCAUUAGAUGCCAUUUUUCUAGAAAGAUCUUGAUAUGGAUUAAGGGCAUGAGGUGGCACAUGGUUAGGGAAAGAGAAAAAGCCAAAAUGAGUGGAAUUGAAGGCCAAGAAAUGGCCUCUGCAAUUUCCGUUUCUGUACUGAAAUUUUCGUACCAAGGUUGAAGAAAUGGCGCGCGUGCAGUGGGAAGGAUUUGUUUUUUUUAACCAAAAUUGAU
rnacentral:lncRNA from 1 species